rnacentral:rRNA from 1 species
AGCGAACGCUGGCGGCAGGCUUAACACAUGCAAGUCGAACGCAUCCUUCGGGAUGAGUGGCAGACGGGUGAGUAACACGUGGGAACGUGCCCUCCGGUCUGGGAUAACCCUGGGAAACUAGGGUUAAUACCGGAUACGUGCUUUGGCAGAAAGGUUUACUGCCGGAGGAUCGGCCCGCGUCUGAUUAGCUAGUUGGUGGGGUAACGGCCUACCAAGGCGACGAUCAGUAGCUGGUCUGAGAGGAUGAUCAGCCACACUGGGACUGAGACACGGCCCAGACUCCUACGGGAGGCAGCAGUGGGGAAUAUUGGACAAUGGGCGCAAGCCUGAUCCAGCCAUGCCGCGUGAGUGAUGACGGCCUUAGGGUUGUAAAGCUCUUUUCUCCGGGACGAUAAUGACGGUACCGGAGGAAUAAGCCCCGGCUAACUUCGUGCCAGCAGCCGCGGUAAUACGAAGGGGGCUAGCGUUGCUCGGAAUCACUGGGCGUAAAGGGCGCGUAGGCGGCGUUUUAAGUCGGGGGUGAAAGCCUGUGGCUCAACCACAGAAUGGCCUUCGAUACUGGGACGCUUGAGUAUGG